GUUGGUAGGGUAAUGGCCUACCAAGGCUAAGACGGGUAGGGGACCUGAGAGGGUGGCCCCCCACAAUGGUACUGAAACACGGACCAUACAUCUACGGAUGGCAGCAGUAGGGAAUAUUGCACAAUGGACGAAAGUCUGAUGCAGCAACGCCGCGUGUGCGAUGAAGGUCUUCGGAUUGUAAAGCACUUUUCUGAGGGAAGAGGAAGGACGGUACCUCAGGAAUAAGUCUCGGCUAACUACGUGCCAGCAGCCGCGGUAACACGUAGGAGGCAAGCGUUAUCCGGAUUUACUGGGCGUAAAGCGCGUGCAGGCGGUUUGGUAAGUUGGAUGUGAAAGCUCCUGGCUCAACUGGGAGAGGCCGUUCAAUACUACCAGACUAGAGGACGGUAGAGGAAGGUAGAAUUCCUGGUGUAGUGGUGAAAUGCGUAGAUAUCAGGAGGAAUACCAGUGGCGAAGGCGGCCUUCUGGGCCGUUCCUGACGCUAAGACGCGAAAGCAUGGGUAGCAAACGGGAUUAGAAACCCCGGUAGUCCAUGCCGUAAACGAUGCAAACUUGGUGUUGGUGGUGUAAAAGCCGUCAGUGCCGUAGCUAACGCGAUAAGUUUGCCGCCUGGGGAUUACGACCGCAAGGUUAAAACUCAAAGGAAUUGACGGGUUCCCGCACAAGCAGCGGAGCGUGUGGUUUAAUUCGACUACGCGAAGAACCUUACCUGGGCUUGACAUGUUGGUUGUAGGGAUCCGAAAGGUGACCGACCCUUCGGGGAGCCAUCACAGGUGCUGCAUGGCUGUCGUCAGCUCGUGUCGUGAGAUGUCCGGUUAAGUCCGGUAACGAGCGCAACCCUUGCCGUAUGUUAUACGUGUCAUACGGGACUGCCGGUAUAAAGCCGGGGGAAGGCGGGGAUGACGUCAAGUCAGCAUGGCCUUUAUGUCCAGGGCUACACACACGCUACAAUGGUCGGUACAAUAGGUCGCAAAACCGCGAGGUGGAGCCAAUCCAUAAAGCCGAUCUCAGUUCGGAUUGUAGGCUGUAACUCGCCUGCAUGAAGCUGGAGUUGCUAGUAAACGCGCGUCAGCAACAGUGCGUUGAAUACGUUCCCGGGAAUUGUACACACCGCCCGUCACGUCAUGGGAGCUGGCAACACCUGAAGUCGGUAUCCUAACCCUAACGGGAAGGAGCUGCCAAAGGUGGGGCUGGUGACUGGGACGAAGUCGUAACAAGGUAGGUGUACCGGAAGGUGCGCCUGG
rnacentral:rRNA from 1 species